AUUGAACGCUGGCGGCAGGCCUAACACAUGCAAGUCGGACGGUAGCACAGAGGAGCUUGCUCCUCGGGUGACGAGUGGCGGACGGGUGAGUAAUGUCUGGGGAUCUGCCCGAUAGAGGGGGAUAACCACUGGAAACGGUGGCUAAUACCGCAUAACGUCGCAAGACCAAAGAGGGGGACCUUCGGGCCUCUCACUAUCGGAUGAACCCAGAUGGGAUUAGCUAGUAGGCGGGGUAAUGGCCCACCUAGGCGACGAUCCCUAGCUGGUCUGAGAGGAUGACCAGCCACACUGGAACUGAGACACGGUCCAGACUCCUACGGGAGGCAGCAGUGGGGAAUAUUGCACAAUGGGCGCAAGCCUGAUGCAGCCAUGCCGCGUGUAUGAAGAAGGCCUUCGGGUUGUAAAGUACUUUCAGCGGGGAGGAAGGCGAUGUGGUUAAUAACCGCGUCGAUUGACGCUACCCGCAGAAGAAGCACCGGCUAACUCCGUGCCAGCAGCCGCGGUAA
rnacentral:rRNA from 1 species